ensembl:lncRNA LINC00887 long intergenic non-protein coding RNA 887
AAUCAGCUUUUCCCUGGGUUGAGAAAACCUGAGACAGAGAGCUACAGUCGCGCCUGCCACAUCUACCUCCCCAGCCAUCCUACUCUCUAUGCUGCUGCAAACUAGACAUUCCUUCCUGGAGGGACCUCUCGCUUCCCAUCUUCAGAUCAGGACGCACGGUCUCUUCUCCGCAGCUGCUUCCUCUGGUGUUCCUGUGCUCCUGUCGGCCCGCUGCUCCCACACACAUGCCCAUUCUUCUCGGGCUGGCUUGUAUCUCAGGGUUACGCUCCCCAGGUCCCUUGCUCCAGCCUCCUCUUAAACAUGACAAAGAAUCCAAGGACUUGUGCUGGGGCUGUCAGCUGCUAUUCUGGUGCCCUGGGGACGAAGAAGGGAUCUGGAGGGAAGACUGUCACCCUCUUGCGAAUGUUUCCAAGAAGCAGCUCAGCAUGGGAGAGAAAAGGGGAGAUCCCAGUUCCAGGAACACCUGGCCAGUGUUUCACCUGUUUAUCGGAGUUGACAGGACCAGCCAGCCCUUUCCCACCUCUCCCCAUCAUGAUGGAUGGGAGCCUGGCCUUUGAGAACAGAAAGCACAGAACGUGGCACGUUGGAGGAAAUCAGUAAGUGUUUGCUAAAGGUCCAACAAUGAAACAGAACAGAUAUAUCCAGUGCUAUGCCGCGUCAAAAGAGUAUGAGAGGUAUUGUGGUGAUGCUUUUGAAUGCUAAUCAGAAUAAGGAGGGUGACUAGUCCAUAGUUAUAUAGAAUAUAGGAUAUACAGAAUAUACCUUUUUCUGUAACGGGAUGUGUCACUUAACUUUGUUCCUUAAAGCUCCAGAAGCCCAAGGUCACCCACAAUGAUUCAAGUAUUAUCAAUGUUGAGAGCCUGUAAAAGCAUCAAGUAUAUUAUAGUUUCCAAAAAAUUGUGAAUUAGACUGAAAACCAGCAUUUAAAAAAUAAAGUGAUGUUGACUUAAA